rnacentral:misc_RNA from 1 species
AACGCACCUUGCGCUCCUUGGUAUUCCGAGGAGCAUGCCUGUUUGAGUCUCAUGGAAUUCUCAACCUUCGGCUUUAUUGACGAAGGCUUGGACUUGGAGGUCGUGCCGGCUCUCGUAGUCGGCUCCUCUGAAAUGCAUUAGUGCGAACGUUACCAGCCGCUUCAGCGUGAUAAUUAUCUGCGUUGCUGUGGAGGGUAUUCUAGUGUUCGCGCUUCUAACCGUCUUCGGACAAAUUUCUGAACUCUGAGCUCAAAUCAGGUAGGACUACCCGCUGAACUUAA